CCUACGGGUGGCAGCAGUGAGGAAUAUUGGUCAAUGGACGAGAGUCUGAACCAGCCAAGUAGCGUGAAGGAUGACUGCCCUAUGGGUUGUAAACUUCUUUUAUAUGGGAAUAAAAUGUUCCACGUGUGGGAUUUUGUAUGUACCAUAUGAAUAAGGAUCGGCUAACUCCGUGCCAGCAGCCGCGGUAAUACGGAGGAUCCGAGCGUUAUCCGGAUUUAUUGGGUUUAAAGGGAGCGUAGGUGGAUUGUUAAGUCAGUUGUGAAAGUUUGCGGCGCAACCGUAAAAUUGCAGGUGAAACUGGCAGUCUUGAGUACAGUAGAGGUGGGCGGAAUUCGUGGUGUAGCGGUGAAAUGCUUAGAUAUCACGAAGAACUCCGAUUGCGAAGGCAGUUCACUGGACUGCAACUGACACUGAGGCUCGAAAGUGUGGGUAUCAAACAGGAUUAGAUACCCGAGUAGUC
rnacentral:rRNA from 1 species